UGCCUUGAGGGAAGCUGGAAAAGCAUUUGCAGUCAGUUGGGAGAGCAUUAUAUCUAAGGCUGUAUUAAGGUUGCUGUAGUAUGGACCUUGUGGAGAGUUGCAACCAAUUUGACUAGUCUGUUACAGUUAGUAAAAGGAGAAGUAGUCACUAUACAGUGAGAAAAGGUGGAUUAGAAAUCAGAGCUUGAAAUGUUGAAGGAACAGAAAUGGAAUCGCAGUGCUGAGCUGGAAAAACAGGAGAAGAAAAACAGUGGAGGUCAAUGUGUCUCCGCUGGAAAGGAGUCCCUGUGAUGUGAGUCCAGCCAGCACAUGAUGAAGAAUAUACAAAAGCUCAGACAAUAAAAACUCAAGCUGAGAGGUUAGGUUGGCAAUUGAAAGAAGCUUAAGUAGCUUUCAGAGUAGUGGUGAGAGGCAGUGUUGUGGAUUGGAUCAUUCAGCUUGCCAGAGGGUGAUUCAGUCUUUGCAAAGGGUACUGCAGGAAAAGCACGGUGUGGUUGCAGCCAUCAGUACCAAAUUUAGAGAGGAAGAUGUGGAUCACAGGAUGCAGGGAGUUCAUGACAGCAGGAAGUCAAGUUGUGCAAACCGUACAUUCCCCAAUAAUAUACACGGUGUCUGCGAGAACUCCGAGUAGGCAUGUAUCAAGCCGACAGUUAGCACAGUGAAUCCUAGGUGUAGUGAAUCAGAGAACAGCAGUGGGGAAAAAUGAAAGAUUUUUGCAGAGGUACUGUAUGGAUUGCUAAUGGAAGGGUAUGAGUAUGGCUGUCUGCUAUCAGUGUAUCAGAGAAAAAUUGGCCUAUUAAGUCUCGAUUCGGUCUUGAAUGAGCAAAAGAAAGAAUUUGAAUACUGUUUACUUACAGAUCCACUUACUUUAGAACAAGGGAGGAAAACCAGAUCUUAAACAAUUUGGGUAAACGAGGAAACAGAAAUAAAAGAAAAAGAGUGCCCACCUUGCUCAAGGAGAUGAAAUUUCAGCUAUUAAGAAAAUAGUAGAAGAAGAUUCAGAGAAACCAUUAACUAUUUCCACAGAUUUGGGGUGGGUUUGUCAAUCUUUGUUUCCCAAUCAGUAUGGGGAAGGAAAAGGGAUAUGUUAAGGGGGUGGUAAAACAGUAAUACACACCACCCUUUGGGAAUGUGUGGCUCAGUCCCCAAGGAUUACACAAGCAGUGUGUUUGAAAAAGCAUAGUCUGGAUGUAAUUGUGGAAAAAGCUGAUUAUACGCUGUAGUAUGAAGAAAUAGCAAAAUAAAGAACAGACAACUCUGGGGGCAAGUGAUUUCAUCAAUCUCAGUUAAAGCUUUGGAGAAGUGAAUCAAAAAUGUAACUCGGUGUCUGUGGUAGGUCCCUGUGGUUUAUUUUGCAGGAUGAUGCUACCAGCAUUAGGGUUGAAGAGAAACAGCUCAACCUAGUGAUGGUGUUGGUGACUUCUGUAAUGUCCCUUCAAGCAAGUAUGUAGGCAUAGAAGGAAGAGGUGAAUAAAACGGAAGGAAAAAGGCUUGAAACAGGAGCACCAAGCACUGAGACAGUACUUUAGUAAGGAGUUGACAGAAUUGUUGGUUUAAAUGUGUAUACGAAGGAGAAAUGAAUAAUGAAAUACUGCAGCUGAAAGAGAUAGAGGUAACACGGAAGGAAGGUUGUAUAAGUAAGUAUUAGAGGAGACUUACACGUAUCUAGUAACCAAAGCUUAAUAUCUGUGUCCAUCUCUUUCUUUUGUUUUCAAAUGUUAACUACAAUUGUAGUUGAGAAACUUAAUUAGUAUUGAUAAAACUGGUAGUUUACUUUUAGAAAGCAGAGAAUGGCAAAGCUACCCAUAGUAUAGCAAAAAUAUCUGACAUCUCAACCAUGAAAGAAAAUUUUUUUGUAUAGGCUAUAGCAGACUUAGGAGCACAGAUAUCUGCGAAGAAACUUACUGUGCCAAGAAGACAGGAUAAUUUUGGUAGUUAUUGUUGUUCUGUGCCUGCUCUAUUAGAAUGAUACCAUAGAUUUGAUGGUUGUUUAUUUACACUAAUUAUGAAGCUUAACUGUUUGUUAGAAGGGAAAAGAUGGAACCAGUGGGUAUUAAGCAAAUGGACAACAGACGUAAGCCAAUCACAACCGUAUUACGGAAGAGAAAUAGUAGCUUGUUGGCUAGGAUAUUAGCAAAAGAAAAGGACAAAGGAGUUUGCUGUCUGAAUACAAUAAAUAUCUUACAGAGGUGGGCAGCUUGCUCAAUGGAUAGCUUCAUCAAGUUAAAAAUAAUAAAAACAACACAAAACUUUUUUUGGAUGGUAACAUUUUUCUGGCAUCACUAAUGACAAGCGACAGUGGCAUACAAACUUGUAAUUAAGGAAUGUCACUGUCACAGAAUACUAGCUGAAGACAUCCUUUAGCUAUGGAGAAACUUUAAACUUUUUUGGGGGUAAAGUUUCUAAACAGUCCUUUUUAAAAAAAAAAAAAAAAAAAAAAAAAAAAAGUAAAAAUGAAAAUUAUAGCUUCUCAUGUAGAAAUUGAGGAAAUCAUUACAUCUAAUUAUUAUUAAUCUUUGGCACUGUAAUUAAGUAGUGUUUUGGUGCUAUUUCUCAGUUAUCAAUAAAUCACCUGGCUAUUAACAAGAAAUAAUUGUUUCUAAAUGUCAAAACUUUGAUCAGUUCCGAUGACAUUUGUUGCCAUCACAAGCAACUUGUGUUUGGACAGCUUUUGACAAUGUUUGAUGACUGCCAAAUAUAUUUCACCCAGAUGGACGUGGGAAGUAUACAUGUCAAACAAAUAUGUAUGCGUUAGAACACCAAAUACCAAUGGAAAUGUUGCUGUCGCUACAGAGCAAGCAUCAGUGAAUCCUGGUUUGUAUUGAUACUUGUAUAAAUAUUUUUGUUAAUGGACUUGUGUAGUUAACAGCCUGUUAAAUACCUUCUGGAGACCAUUUAUUAUGGAAGGCCAGGGACAGCUUGCAAUUUUGUCUGUGAAGUCAUUUAUAAAAAAUUGUAUGUUUUGUUUUGGGUUUUUUUUUCAUUUUGUUCUAUGUAGCUGUGUGUGUCAGGGUUUUGUGACUUUCCUGCCAUGUUGUAAAGGUCAGGAUUGGAAAGAGGGACUCUAACUUCUGACCAAAGGGGUAGUGCUCUGCAGCUUCUGAUGGGCAUGGCACUUUGCUUUUUUGUAAAAAUGUGCUGUUUUCUGGGUAUGUGCAAGAACUGACUUAACCUUUUUUUUUCUUUUCUCUCUAGAAGAUCAGUCGAGAGAGUGCAUAAGGCUAAACAGUAACAUUUUGGACAAAUUGAGACUUUGAUUUUUACAGAAUGUUACUGGUUUGUUAAUUUCUGUAUGAAUGAAAUUAUUUACAACAUCUUCCUUUUAUGCCCAGACUGUCCCCAGGGUGGUACGUACUGGUUGUUUGAUAGACUGCCAACCAUUGUGCAAAGCAUUGUCUUGGGGGCAAAAAAGUCUGUGUUUUGUCUCAUUGUUCCUACUCUUUGCCGUCUGUUAACGUGAUCUGUGUUCUCUUUCAGGUUGUUUUACUGUAUGGGCUGCAGGACCUCGAGGGGAUCCUUCCGGGGCUCUGAAUUGUGGAAAGUUUACGUGCAUGUUCUAAUUUAUCCUUCAGCUGAGUCAGGUGGAAAAAUACUGCAGGUGAACAUAAUACUGUUUUGUCACUAGAAAAUUAACUGCUGGACUGAAAUCAGCCUGGAAAAGUAAAGAGGUCAUGACACAACAUCUGUUUUUUGGAGAGUAUAGUUAUUACCACCAAAUAAUAUAGCAGACACUGGAGUGGAAAAAAUAACUCCAGAACAGAGCUGCUGUAGUGAUGCCUUUUUGACCACGGUUCUGUGGAUUACAUUGACUGGAUUUCCCUAAGAUGCAUGCUUGGAAGAAUUUCUGACGAUACUGGACGAGACACAAACCAAUUGCUUUGCAGGUGGCUGCUGUUCAAUUUCUGGGCACGGGAGGUGCCUUGAAGAAAUGCUGAGUGCUUGCUAUUGCUGCUGAGGAAUGAGAACAUGAUGUGCCUCCUCUGUGGCUUUCCUUAAAUAAAGGGCAUUCCUGUUUCCAAGGCAGAAAUGUCACAAGGAG